UCCGUAGGCGGUGCGGCAAGUCGGAAGUGAAAUCUCUGGGCUUAGCUCAGAGGCUGCUUCCGAAACUGCCGUGCUCGAGUGCGAGAGAGGCAAGUGGAAUUGCGGGUGUAGCGGUGAAAUGCGUAGAUAUCCGCAGGAACAUCCGAGGCGAAAGCGGCUUGCUGGAUCGCAACUGACGCUGAGGGACGAAAGCUAGGGGAGCAAACAGGAUUAGAUACCCUGGUAGUCCUAGCCCUAAACCAUCAGGACUUGGGGUUUGCCCUGUACGGGGCAAGUCCCGGAGCUAACGCGUUAAGUCCUGCGCCUGGGGAGUACGGUCGCAAGGCUGAA
rnacentral:rRNA from 1 species